rnacentral:rRNA from 1 species
GCUAAUACCGGAUAGUUCCUUGAACCGCAUGGUUCAAGGAUGAAAGACGGUUUCGGCUGUCACUUACAGAUGGACCCGCGGCGCAUUAGCUAGUUGGUGAGGUAACGGCUCACCAAGGCGACGAUGCGUAGCCGACCUGAGAGGGUGAUCGGCCACACUGGGACUGAGACACGGCCCAGACUCCUACGGGAGGCAGCAGUAGGGAAUCUUCCGCAAUGGACGAAAGUCUGACGGAGCAACGCCGCGUGAGUGAUGAAGGUUUUCGGAUCGUAAGCUCUGUUGUUAGGGAAGAACAAGUGCAAGAGUAACUGCUUGCACCUUGACGGUACCUAACCAGAAAGCCACGGCUAACUACGUGCCAGCAGCCGCGGUAAUACGUAGGUGGCAAGCGUUGUCCGGAAUUAUUGGGCGUAAAGGGCUCGCAGGCGGUUUCUUAAGUCUGAUGUGAAAGCCCCCGGCUCAACCGGGGAGGGUCAUUGGAAACUGGGAAACUUGAGUGCAGAAGAGGAGAGUGGAAUUCCACGUGUAGCGGUGAAAUGC